GCUAGGAAGAGGAAUAAAGAGAGGGCCUAAGAGCAAUGGGGGUGAGAACAUAGAGGAAAGCCUAGUUAUGAGUUCUUCGCCUCUUGUGUUGAGGUGGAGAUCCCAUUUGGUAUUUCCUGAUGCCUCUCAUUCCUAUCGUUCUUAAGCGCUCCUUCAUCUUCCUUUUUGUU
rnacentral:pre_miRNA from 1 species